UGGGGAAUAUUGGACAAUGGGCGAAAGCCUGAUCCAGCCAUGCCGCGUGUGUGAAGAAGGUCUUCGGAUUGUAAAGCACUUUAAGUUGGGAGGAAGGGCAGUAAGCGAAUACCUUGCUGUUUUGACGUUACCGACAGAAUAAGCACCGGCUAACUCUGUGCCAGCAGCCGCGGUAAUACAGAGGGUGCAAGCGUUAAUCGGAAUUACGGGGCGUAAAGCGCGCGUAGGUGGUUCGUUAAGUUGAAUGUGAAAGCCCCGGGCUCAACCUGGGAACUGCAUCCAAAACUGGCGAGCUAGAGUAGGGCAGAGGGUGGUGGAAUUUCCUGUGUAGCGGUGAAAUGCGUGGAUAUAGGAAGGAACACCAGUGGCGAAGGCGACCACCUGGGCUCAUACUGACACUGAGGUGCGAAAGCGUGGGGAGCAAACAGG
rnacentral:rRNA from 1 species